GACGAACGCUGACGGUGUGCUUUAGACAUGCAAGUCGAACGAGAAAGCCCUUCGGGUGAGUACAGUGGCGAACGGGUGAGUAACACGUGGGCAACCUGCCCCUCGCAGGGGGACAACCGGAGGAAACUCCGGCUAAUACCCCGUAAGCUUGUUGGGUCGCAUGACCCUUCAAGGAAAGGUAGCUUCGGCCCAUCCGGCGAGGGGAUGGGGCCCCGCGGUGCAUUAGCUAGGUUGGUGGGGUAACGGCCCCACCAAGGCGACGAUGUAUAGCUGGUCUGAGAGGAUGAUCAGCCACACUGGGACUGAGACACGG
rnacentral:rRNA from 1 species